GAUGAACGCUGGCGGCGUGCCUAAUACAUGCAAGUCGAGCGAACAGGCGAGGAGCUUGCUCCUCUGACGUUAGCGGCGGACGGGUGAGUAACACGUGGAUAACCUACCUAUAAGACUGGGAUAACUUCGGGAAACCGGAGCUAAUACCGGAUAAUAUAUUGAACCGCAUGGUUCAAUAGUGAAAGACGGUUUUGCUGUCACUUAUAGAUGGAUCCGCGCCGCAUUAGCUAGUUGGUAAGGUAACGGCUUACCAAGGCAACGAUGCGUAGCCGACCUGAGAGGGUGAUCGGCCACACUGGAACUGAGACACGGUCCAGACUCCUACGGGAGGCAGCAGUAGGGAAUCUUCCGCAAUGGGCGAAAGCUUGACGGAGCAACGCCGCGUGAGUGAUGGAGGUCUUCGGAUCGUAAAACUCUGUUAUUAGGGAAGAACAAAUGUGUAAGUAACUAUGCACGUCUUGACGGUACCUAAUCAGAAAGCCACGGCUAACUACGUG
rnacentral:rRNA from 1 species